rnacentral:sRNA from 1 species
UGUAAGCGCCAAUGUCAAAUCCUACUGUUAUAUCGCCUCCAUUUGUUUCCCUUUCGACACCCUUUUUGCCAAAUUAUGCUCCUGAUCACUCCCAUUCAUAUUUUUAGAGUAACUGCUAAUUGAGCGCAAUGAUAACUUUAUCGAGCCUACUUUUCAGUGUUAAGUCAUUUGCAUUGUAGCUUACAGAAUCAAAGUAAACCGGGUGAAGUGUUGUGACUUGGGCUUUCCGGUCCAAGUUAAAUUAUGGACUUUAUGGUGCAGAAUUUAGUGAUUUGUAAGGCAAGUCCACAAAAAUGUCACUAGUUGUUAGGUGGUGUCUGUGAUGUACAUGCGGAAUAGGCAAUAAACAUGAAUAUGAAAUGCAACAGAAUGCUUUAUGCAAUAAAGUUGAUAACCAACAACAUGCCAACAACAUGCUCGGCUUCCUACGAUGUAAUCUUCAGAAAACUUCUAGAGAGACCAAGACAAAUGCAUAUAUCUCGUAACAUCUAUUUU